rnacentral:rRNA from 1 species
UACAGAGGGUGCGAGCGUUAAUCGGAAUUACUGGGCGUAAAGCGCACGUAGAUGGCUUCGUAAGUCGGGUGUGAAAUCCCCGGGCUCAACCUGGGAACUGCAUUCGAAACUGCAUUGCUCGAGUGUGGAAGAGGGAAGCGGAAUUCCAGGUGUAGCGGUGAAAUGCGUAGAUAUCUGGAGGAACAUCAGUGGCGAAGGCGGCUUCCUGGUCCAACACUGACAUUCAGGUGCGAAAGCGUGGGGAGCAAACAGG